UCCAUUUGGAGUUAAUAAAUGGUCUGGCCUGCCCACUGAGGAAUUAAAGGGCCGCGGUAAUCUGACCGUGCGAAGGUAGCAUAAUCAUUAGUCUCUUAAUUGGAGGCUAGAAUGAAUGGUCGGACAAGAAGCUUACUGUUUCUUUUUUAAAUUUAAAAUUUUACUUUUAAGUGAAAAGGCUUAAAUAAGUUAAUGGGACGAGAAGACCCUAUAAAACUUUACAUAAAAGGUAUAAUAUUUGAUUUUAAGGUGUAAAAAAUAUUAUUCUAGUUUUGUUGUGCUGGGGCGGCCUUAAUAUAAUAACAUUAACUGUAAAUAAAAAAAAAUAUAACUGUAUAGUUUAAAGGAUCCUUUAUUUAAGGAUUAAAAGAUUAAGUUACUUUAGGGAUAACAGCGUGAUUUUCCUUGAGAGUUCGUAUCGACAGGAGUAGUUGCGACCUCGAUGUUGAAUUUAAGAUUACCUGAUGGUGCAACAGCUUUUUAGGUGGGUCUGUUCGACCUUUAAAAUC
rnacentral:rRNA from 1 species